CCUAAAUGACUGACACUGAAUAGCCAUCCUUUCAGGAGAGAGUCCAUUUCAGACCCACAGGAAGUAUGACGUUAGUCUCAAGACACCUUUAUCAAAAUACAACAGUUCUAAUAGCUGCCUAAGACUUAUUCAGAUGAAAUCUUUUUGUUAUACAACCACAUAAGCAUAUGGAGAAAGAGAGAGAAUAUUUUGGGAAGUACCUGUUUAUGCAACAUGUUUUAGCCUUUCAGAUAGUUCCUGUGGUACACAUUUGGCUUGUACACUCAAAAGAUGGAUGUGAAUACCACUCUAUCAGAGUAAGUUCAUGAAGCAGCCCUGAGAGAGAAUAAACUAGAACCCAUGGGGCGUAGCGUGAAGGACAGCCUGGAUUGUUCCUUUCUCUUAAUAGGCUUGUACCAACUGGACUGCAUUUUCUGUCUAGUUUUAGGUGAAGUAGAUCUUUCAGAACCUGUCCUGGCCCAAACCUGAAAAUGGUCCUGAAGUCACAAUGUCUCCAGAAUCUAGGAGCGCCUCUCUGAAGUGCUUGGUGAGACGGAAUUUUACCAUGUUGACCAGGCUGAUCUGGAACUCCUGACCUCAGCAUGAAAAUCCUUACAAGAUGCCAGCACCAUGCUCUUGGAGUUCCCGACUUCCAGAACUGUGGACCAAAUAAAACACUAUUGUUUAUAAA
rnacentral:antisense_RNA from 1 species